rnacentral:rRNA from 1 species
UGGGGAAUAUUGCACAAUGGGGGAAACCCUGAUGCAGCGACGCCGCGUGAACGAAGAAGGUAUUCGUAUCGUAAAGUUCUGUCCUAUGGGAAGAUAAUGACAGUACCAUAGAAGAAAGCUCCGGCUAAAUACGUGCCAGCAGCCGCGGUAAUACGUAUGGAGCGAGCGUUGUCCGGAAUUAUUGGGCGUAAAGGGUACGCAGGCGGUUUAAUAAGUCGAAUGUUAAAGAUCGGGGCUCAACCCCGUAAAGCAUUGGAAACUGAUAAACUUGAGUCGUGGAGAGGAAAGUGGAAUUCCUAGUGUAGUGGUGAAAUACGUAGAUAUUAGGAGGAAUACCAGUAGCGAAGGCGACUUUCUGGACACAAACUGACGCUGAGGUACGAAAGCGUGGGGAGCAAACAGG